rnacentral:rRNA from 1 species
GAUGAACGCUGGCGGCGUGCCUAAUACAUGCAAGUCGAGCGAACAGACGAGGAGCUUGCUCCUCUGACGUUAGCGGCGGACGGGUGAGUAACACGUGGAUAACCUACCUAUAAUACUGGGAUAACUUCGGGAAACCGGAGCUAAUACCGGAUAAUAUAUUGAACCGCAUGGUUCAAUAGUGAAAGACGGUUUUGCUGUCACUUAUAGAUGGAUCCGCGCCGCAUUAGCUAGUUGGUAAGGUAACGGCUUACCAAGGCAACGAUGCGUAGCCGACCUGAGAGGAUGAUCAGCCACACUGGAACUGAGACACGGUCCAGACUCCUACGGGAGGCAGCAGUAGGGAAUAUUCCACAAUGGGCGAAAGCUUGACGGAGCAACGCCGCGUGAGUGAUGAAGGUCUUCGGAUCGUAAAACUCUGUUAUUAGGGAAGAACAAAUGUGUAAGUAACUAUGCACGUCUUGACGGUACCUAAUCAGAAAGCCACGGCUAACUACGUG